AGCUGCUUCAGAGUCUCUUCAGAGCUAGCCAGAGGUGAGUGGAAUAAACUUUAAGUUUUAAAGCAAAUUAAUGAAAUGUUUUAGCAUGAUUCACGCAUCAUGAAUGCCAUGAGAUAUAUCAGGUUGAUUGCAUUAGAAUUCACGAAUAUGUUGCAUUGCAUACCUUGUUGUUGAUGUGGAUGAACGUUGAAUGAUCCAUUAGCCCUUUUAUGUCAUGAUAGCCUAUGUGAGUCCAGGUGUGCCUGCUACGGCUCUACGCCCCUGGCACUAUGAUUGAUUAUGGUAGUCCGGGUGUGCCUGCUACGGCUCUACGCCCCCGGCAUGUAUAAGUAAGAAAGAUAGGGGCUAAAUGGUGACAAGUUCAUCCUUGUUGUGAAGUGUUUGUGUUAUGGCGCAUACAUGAAAGCAUGAUUUAAAUUGAUGUUUUAUUAUUCUGCUCACUGGGCUCUAGUAGCUCACCCCACUCCCUUUAUCCCCAGAGUUGCAGGUACAGGAUAGAUCGGGAAGUCGGCUAGAGUGAAGUUAAGUCAUGUAUGUUGUAAUAGAUAGUAGUGGACAUGAAUAUGAUGUAAUGAGUAAUUAUGACCAUGUAAUGUAAUGAAUGAUUUGAUGAUGUAUUGAGGAUUAUAGUAGUGCUUGACCUAGAGGUGUGUGAAUCCCCAUUAUGUACAGAG
rnacentral:lncRNA from 1 species